UACGUAGGGGGCAAGCGUUGUCCGGAAUUAUUGGGCGUAAAGCGCGCGCAGGCGGCUAUUUAAGUCUGGUGUUUAAACCUUGGGCUCAACCUGAGGUCGCACUGGAAACUGGGUGGCUUGAGUACAGAAGAGGAAAGUGGAAUUCCACGUGUAGCGGUGAAAUGCGUAGAUAUCUGGAGGAACACCGGUGGCGAAGGCGACAUCCUGGACCGGUAUUGACGCUGAGGCGCGAAAGCCAGGGGAGCAAACGGG
rnacentral:rRNA from 1 species